rnacentral:rRNA from 1 species
GCUAAACGCGAAGAACCUUACCUGGGCUAGAAAGUGUAGGAACCUGGCCGAAAGGCUGGGGUGCCCUUCGGGGAAUCUACAGUUAGGUGCUGCAUGGCUGUCGUCAGCUCGUGUCGUGAGAUGUUGGGUUAAGUCCCGCAACGAGCGCAACCCUUGUCCUUAGUUGCCAGCGAGUAAUGUCGGGAACUCUAAGGAGACUGCCGGUGACAAACCGGAGGAAGGUGGGGAUGACGUCAAGUCCUCAUGGCCCUUACGGCCAGGGCUACACACGUACUACAAUGGUCGGUACAGAGGGUUGCCAAACCGCAAGGUGGAGCCAAUCCCAGAAAGCCGAUCCCAGUCCGGAUCGGAGUCUGCAACUCGACUCCGUGAAGUCGGAAUCGCUAGUAAUCGCGGAUCAGCUAUGCCGCGGUGAAUACGUUCCCGGGUC